UCAUAUAACUCUACUUGUUGAGUUAUUAAUCAAGUGGAUUGCUUACCACCUUAAUUGACUACAUAUUGUCGAUGAUCUUUUGUGGCAUCAUGAUCCAUAUCUUUAGCGGAUUCAAUCAUCAUCAAGUUCUCUAGGUCCUCCAAGUUGGUGUGGAAUUACCAACGAGACUUGAUUUUGAUCAUACAAACAGGAAUUGUAUAUACGCUAAUGUGAUAAACUUAUUUGGGAUUAUCCCCUAAUGUGGGGACAACAAUAUGGGUCAUGGCAACGACAGAAAACGUCGUGCCGAUGUCUAGAAAAGAGGGGAAGGUGUUGCUGGCUCUAAUAGCGACACUCCCGGUCUAGACACCAUUUUGUCAAAACUACUAACGUCAGCUCAUGACAUAAAUGCAACUGUUGUGGAUCUUCGGAUCACUGGUUCAAGAUUGUCAAGCUCCUUUAAAUUGUGAAUGCAUACAAAAAGGUAUGGAAAAUCAAUAUGAGGACAAGAACGUCAUCCUCAUAAUCGCGAAUUUCAAAGAUUCGGAUCCUACUCUAGCUACCCAUGACUUUGAUGUCAUCGGCUAGACAUUGAUUUUCGUUCCAAGUUAUAUGUACUAAGGCAUUGUAUCGACGUCCUUUGUCUAUUUGAGACCUCGAUGUAUUAGCAAUAAUGAAUGCCUUGAGAAUUUUUCGAAGUGAAACUAUUCUCCUCUUAUGGUUCAUAUUGAUUUACAAUCAAGAUGUACACUUACAUCGUCCUUAGAAACAUGGCAUAUUAUGCCGAUUUUGGUCCUUUCCUUUGAAGGUGACUCAUGGCACUGCAUCCUCAAGGAGGAUCGCCCAUGUGUUUCCGGUUAAGUCUUCUACCCUAUAGCAGAUUUUUCAUCAUCAAUUGUUCAACUAGGCUCAUCCAAGCUCAGUGUGAUGUCUUAGAAUUGUCCGAAAUUAAGGAGAUAGUGGUUUUAAGUGUGCCUCGCACUACCGACCCUCCACGGACAUGCCUGGUCAUACUGACUUGGAGUUACCGAAAGCUUUUGAUUUUGGAUCCCCCUACGCUAUUAACCAAUUGCCGUCUUGCAAAGACGUUGAAGACUUAUCAAAGCUGGAAAAUUAUCAUCAUAAUCGGAUCCUCUAGGUCCUCUGAGUUAGU
rnacentral:lncRNA from 1 species